rnacentral:rRNA from 1 species
GACGAACGCUGGCGGCGUGCCUAAUACAUGCAAGUAGAACGCUGAAGGAGUAGCUUGCUCUUCUUGAUGAGUUGCGAACGGGUGCGUAACGCGUAGGUAACCUGCCUGGUAUCGGGGGAUAACUUUUGGAAACGAUAGCUACUACCGCAUAACAGUAGAUGUUGCAUGACAUUUACUUAAAAGUUGCAAUUGCAUCACUACCAUAUGGACCUGCGUUGUAUUAGCUUGUUGGUGGGGUAACGGCUCACCAAGGCGACGAUACAUAGCCUACCUGAGAGGGUGAUCGGCCAAACUGGGAAUGAGACAAGGCCCAGAAUCCUACGGGAAGCAGCAGUAGGGAAACAUCGGCAAUAGACGGAAGGCUGACCGAACAAAGACGCGUGAGGGAAGAAGGUUUUCGGAUCGUAAAGCUCUGUUGGAAGAGAAGAAAGAGUGGGAGAGUGGAAAGUUCACGCUGUGACGGUAUCUUACCAGAAAGGAACGGCUAACUACGUG